rnacentral:rRNA from 1 species
AGUGAACGCUGGCGGUAGGUCUAACACAUGCAAGUCGAACGGCGGCACAGUAAGAGCUUGCUAUUACGGGUGGCGAGUGGCGUACGGGCGAGGAAUACAGCGGAAUCUACGUUUUAGCGGGGGAUAACGUAGGGAAACUUACGCUAAUACCGCAUACGACCUACGGGUGAAAGCAGGGGACUUUCGGACCUUGCGCGAUUGAAUGAGCCGAUGUCGGUUUAGCUAGUUGGCGGGGUAAAGGCCCACCAAGGCGACGAGCCUAAGCUGGUCUGAGAGGAAGUACAGCCACCUUGGAAGUGAGGAACGGCCGUGACUGCUAAGGUGGGCAACAGUGGGGACUAUUGGGGAAGGGGGGCAAGACUGAUCCAGCCAUACCGCGUGAGUGAAGAAGGCCUUAGGGUUGUAGAGGCCUUUUGUUGGGAAAGAAAAACAGCAGGUUAAUAGCCCGCUGUUUUGACGUUACCCAAAGAAUAAGCAACGGCUAACUUCGUG